GAGAAUCCCGUCCACCGAAUGCCUAAGGUUUCCUGAGGAAGGCUCGUCCGCUCAGGGUUAGUCAGGACCUAAGCCGAGGCCGACAGGCGUAGGCGAUGGACAACAGGUUGAUAUUCCUGUACCACCUCUUUAUCGUUUGAGCAAUGGAGGGACGCAGAAGGAUAGAAGAAGCGUGCGAUUGGUUGUGCACGUCCAAGCAGUUAGGCUGAUAAGUAGGCAAAUCCGCUUAUCGUAAAGGCUGAGCUGUGAUGGGGAAGCUCCUUAUGGAGCGAAGUCUUUGAUUCCCCGCUGCCAAGAAAAGCUUCUAGCGAGAUAAAAGGUGCCUGUACCGCAAACCGACACAGGUAGGCGAGGAGAGAAUCCUAAGGUGUGCGAGAGAACUCUGGUUAAGGAACUCGGCAAAAUGACCCCGUAACUUCGGGAGAAGGGGUGCUUUCUUAACGGAAAGCCGCAGUGAAUAGGCCCAAGCGACUGUUUAGCAAAAACACAGCUCUCUGCGAAGCCGUAAGGCGAAGUAUAGGGGGUGACACCUGCCCGGUGCUGGAAGGUUAAGGAGAGGGGUUAGCGUAAGCGAAGCUCUGAACUGAAGCCCCAGUAAACGGCGGCCGUAACUAUAACGGUCCUAAGGUAGCGAAAUUCCUUGUCGGGUAAGUUCCGACCCGCACGAAAGGUGUAACGAUUUGGGCACUGUCUCAACCAGAGACUCGGUGAAAUUAUAGUACCUGUGAAGAUGCAGGUUACCCGCGACAGGACGGAAAGACCCCGUGGAGCUUUACUGUAGCCUGAUAUUGAAUUUUGGUACAGUUUGUACAGGAUAGGCGGGAGCCUUUGAAACCGGAGCGCUAGCUUCGGUGGAGGCGCUGGUGGGAUACCGCCCUGACUGUAUUGAAAUUCUAACCUACGGGUCUUAUCGACCCGGGAGACAGUGUCAGGUGGGCAGUUUGACUGGGGCGGUCGCCUCCUAAAGUGUAACGGAGGCGCCCAAAGGUUCCCUCAGAAUGGUUGGAAAUCAUUCGUAGAGUGCAAAGGCAUAAGGGAGCUUGACUGCGAGACCUACAAGUCGAGCAGGGACGAAAGUCGGGCUUAGUGAUCCGGUGGUUCCGCAUGGAAGGGCCAUCGCUCAACGGAUAAAAGCUACCCCGGGGAUAACAGGCUUAUCUCCCCCAAGAGUCCACAUCGACGGGGAGGUUUGGCACCUCGAUGUCGGCUCAUCGCAUCCUGGGGCUGUAGUCGGUCCCAAGGGUUGGGCUGUUCGCCCAUUAAAGCGGUACGCGAGCUGGGUUCAGAACGUCGUGAGACAGUUCGGUCCCUAUCCGUCGUGGGCGUAGGAAAUUUGAGAGGAGCUGUCCUUAGUACGAGAGGACCGGGAUGGACGCACCGCUGGUGUACCAGUUGUUCUGCCAAGGGCAUAGCUGGGUAGCUAUGUGCGGAAGGGAUAAGUGCUGAAAGCAUCUAAGCAUGAAGCCCCCCUCAAGAUGAGAUUUCCCAUAGCGUAAGCUAGUAAGAUCCCUGAAAGAUGAUCAGGUUGAUAGGUUCGAGGUGGAAGCAUGGUGACAUGUGGAGCUGACGAAUACUAAUAGAUCGAGGACUUAACCAUAUAA
rnacentral:rRNA from 1 species